CCUCUGUACCUUUUAUAGGCUUCCUUGAUCUUAAGAACUUGGAAUAUUUGGAUUUGAGUUACAAUACUUUAGACAAUAGCAUAUUUCAAACCAUCGGUAAGGCCUAUUUGACUUAAAUCAUCU